UACGGAGGAUUCAAGCGUUAUCCGGAUUUAUUGGGUUUAAAGGGUGCGUAGGCGGUCGGAUAGGUUAGAGGUGAAAUCCCGGGGCUCAACUUCGGAAUUGCCUCUGAUACUGUUCGGCUAGAGAGUAGUUGCGGUAGGCGGAAUGUAUGGUGUAGCGGUGAAAUGCUUAGAGAUCAUACAGAACACCGAUUGCGAAGGCAGCUUACCAAGCUACUUCUGACGUUGAGGCACGAAAGCGUGGGGAGCAAACAGG
rnacentral:rRNA from 1 species